rnacentral:rRNA from 1 species
UACGUAGGUGGCAAGCGUUGUCCGGAUUUACUGGGCGUAAAGGGCGUGCAGGCGGUCUGUUAAGUUCAGGGUGAAAGCUCCCGGCUCAACUGGGAGAGGUCCUUGGAUACUGGCAGACUUGAGGGAGGUAGAGGAGAGUGGAAUUCCCGGUGUAGUGGUGAUAUGCGUAGAUAUCGGGAGGAACACCAGUGGCGAAGGCGGCUCUCUGGGCCUGCACUGACGCUCAUGCACGAAAGCGUGGGGAGCAAACAGG